AUUAUUUUGUAUUUUUAUUUUGUGUUUAUGAGCUUUUUUGUGUGUGUUUUGCCUACAUGUUUGUUUGUAUACCACAGGUAUGCUUGGUGUGUGCAGAGAGGAGAGGAGGACCCCUAGAACUGGUGUUAAAUGGUAUGGAAAUCCAAAAUGUGGCUACUGUGACUGAAUCAGAGUCCUCCACAGUGCAGCAAGUACUCAUAACAUCUCAGUCAUUUCUGAAGUCUCAAAACACUAUUUUACACAGGUUUAUUUAUUUUUAUUUCAUGUACUUGAGUGAUUGCCUUCUUGUGUGAAUACAAAAUGUGUGCCUGGUGGUCUUAAAUUCCAAAAGGGAUCUCAUGACCUAGAGCUACAGAUGGUUCCAGGACCUCCUGUGUGCACUGAGACUGAUACUCUUCUUUGUACAAAAAGGGGUCAGUGUUCCUAGAUGCCUGGAUAUCUAUCCACCCUGCCAUGCAACACUUUAACACCAAGAGUGCAUACAAAUAAAGUUGUUAGAAUUUUUGUAAAUGACUAUGAAAAUGAAUAAUUGCAAAACAAAAGGACAUGAAGCUCUUAUUCACAUUCCCAGUGAACACCUUAGUGACUCCUCUAUAUUCCAAUGUUUCCAUGAAGAGAAACAUCAUAAACACCUAUAUAUUCAGCAGUCACAGGACAUAAAAAAGUUACACAAAAUCUUUAUCCACAAAAUCUUCAGCAAGGAAACCAUUAUUAGUUAUAGUUCAAUUUCUGAGAGUUUAAGAGCCAUUCCAUGAUGUUCCUGAUUCGUCAGGGGCUUAUUCACAAAAGCUGUACAUGUCACAGUAAAAGUCAAGGCUUAACACUUCUAGGUUCCUGAAUUUGAUAAAGAGUUUCUGACAAAAUGGGCUGACGACACUCAUCAUUCUGUUCUUCUGGUUUAGACCGAAAUGGAGAAACUAUCUAUAUAUUUGAUGACCUUAUACUUUGCCAUUGAUCAGAUCAAUAAGGACUCACAACUGCUUCCCAUUGUGACCUUGGAUUUCCAUGUCUACAACGCCUUUAAUUCUAACAAAAAAAAAAAAAAACCCCUGGAAGGCCCUCUGAUGUCAAUGUCUGGAAGAACUGAGUAUGUUCCUAACUACGAAUGCAAAACACAACACAAAGCUCUAGGAAUCAUUUCAGGAACCAUGUCAGAAUUUUCUGCUGCAAUUGGAACACUUUUAGAGCUCUAAAACGUCCCACAACGAAUAUUUCCCUAAAGACUGGGGAUGAAAUAAAUGAUGUGAUGACUACUUCUGAGCCCAGCUAUUCCAUAUGGAAUGCAGUAUAUGCAGUGGCCCAUGCCCUCCAUAAAAUGCUGUUGACCAAAACUGAAAUGGGACCUAUGGAUGACAGAAACAAGGGUGAGAUUCUACCAUGGCAGGUAAGCCUCAUUCAUAAGCAAGGGAAUCACCAGGAUCGUAUAUUAUUGGUAAGCAAUUUACUGUGGUUAACCAAGAGAUCAUUUUCUUCUUAUAAUUAAAAGUAUAUAUUAAAAUGCAAAAGGGUUUGUCAUAGGAUAUCUAUAUAUGUCUAUAACUAUCUGACAUGAUUUUGAAACUCAAAGCACAGAUUUGAAGACAUUAAAUUAGAAUGUGUUUCAACAAAUGUUUCCUAACCUGACACGAAAUUCUAAAAUAUAAAUAUGUGAUUAAUGUCAAAAUAUAGCAAGUUCAGUAAUCAAAAUUUAUAUUUUCUUGGAAUAUACCAAUUGAAAUAAGCUUUAGACAUAAUGACCAUAUCCAAAGCUGCUAUUUCACAUAAAAUUCAAUCUAUAUUUAAUGUCAAAAGAUCAUAAAAUUAAUAGGGUCCUUUGCUUUAAAGAAUCUUCUCAGUUUCAUGAGGUCCCAUGUAUCAAUUGUAAAUCUUACUUCGUGGGGUGUUGGUGUGCUGUUCAGGAAGUUGUCUCUUGUGCCAAUGAAUUCAAGGAUCUUCCCUAUUUUCUCCUCUAAUAGAUUUAGUGUUUGCUUUUAUGUUAAGGUCAUUGAUCCACUUUGAACUGAGUUUUGUGUAGAUUGAUAAAUAUGGGACUAUUGAUAUUUUUCUACAUGUAGGCAUCAGCUGGAUCAGAGAUAUUUGUUAAAGAUACUCUCUUCUUUUUUUCCAUUAGAGGUUUUGAAUUCUUUGUAAAAAAAAAAUCAAGUGUCCAUAGGUGCCUGGGUUUAUUUCUGGGUCUUCAAUUCAAUUCCAUUGAUCAAACAAUCUCUUUAUUUGUGUGUGGGGAGAGAGGUUUGUUGAUUUAGUUAUUUUUGAAUUAAUUAAAGUUUAAUCACUUUGUAUCCCAGGUGUAGCCCCCUCCCUUAUCCCCUCACAAUCCCACCCUACAUCCCUCAUCCCCUCUUAUGUCUCUCCUCAAGCCCACUGUUGGGGGGGGGUCAUUCUUCCCUUCCCUUUGUCCCUAGUACAUCAGGUCUCAUCAAGACUGACUGCAUUGUCUUCCUCUGUGGCCUGAAGUUCUUUUAUUGCACAGAAAUGCUGAGUUAUUAUUUUUUGGUGUUCAAAAUAAUAUUGAGAAUUGUUCUUUCAAGGUCUGUGAUGAAUUGUGUUGUUAUUUGGAUAGGAAUUAUAACGUAUAUUGCUUUUGCUAAUACGGUCCUUUUUACUCUGUUAAUUUUACCAAGCCAUGAGCAUGGGAGCUCUUUCCAUCUUUUGAUAUCUUUUCAGUUUCUUUUUUAAGAGACUUGAAGUUCCUGUAACAGAAGUCUUUCUCUUGCUUGGGGAGAAUUCCACCAAGAUAUUAUUUCUGGCUGUUCUGAAGGAUGCUAUUUUCACAAUUUUUUUAUCAGCCCAUUUCUCAUUUGUAUUCAGGCCAUUACUGAUUUUUUGAGUUAAUUUUAUAGCAGCCACUUUUCUGAAGUUGUUUAUCAGCUGUAUAAGUUUUCUGGUAGAAUUUUUGGGGUCACUUAUAUAUAAUAGUAUAUCAUUUGUAAAUAGGGAUGUUUUUACUUUUUCCUUUCCAAUUUGGACCCCCUGAUCUCCUUUAGUUUUACUAUUUUUCUAGAUAGAACUUCAAGUACUACUUUGAAGAUAUAUAUAUAUAUAUAUAUAUAUAUAUAUAUAUAUAUAGAGAGAGAGAGAGAGAGAGAGAGAGAGAGAGAGAAUGGGCAGCCUUGUCUUGACCCUGAUUUUAGUGUAUUUGCUUUGAAUUUUUCCCCAUUUAAUUUGAUUUUGGCUGCUUGCUAUAUAUUACCUUUAUUAUGUCUAUGUAUGGGCCUUGUAGUCCUGCUCUUUACAGAACUUUUAUCAUGAAGUGGUGCUUGAUUUUAUCAAAGGCGUUUUUUACAUCUAAUUAGAUAAACAUGUUUAUUUUUUUCUUCCAUUGAAUUACAGAGAUGGAUUUAAAUAUGUUGAGUCAUCCCCACAUUCCUGCGAUGAUGCUUACUUGAUCAUGGUGGAUGAUGUAUUUGAUGUGUUCCUGGAUUGGUUUUCUAGUAUUUUAUUGAGUACUUUUCCAUCUAAGUCUGUAAGGGAAAUGGCUCUGAAAUGUUCUUUUUUGUUGGGUCCUUUUGUGGUUUAAGGUAUUAGAGUAACUGUAGCCUCAUAGAAUGAAUUUGGCAAUAUUCCUUCUGUUAUAUUUUGUGGAAUAGUUUCAGGAGUGUUGGAAUGAGGUCCUCUUUGGAAGUCUGGUAGAAUUCCAUGUUACAACCAUCUGGCUCUUGAUUUUUUGGUUGAGAGACUUCUGAUGACAGCUUCUAUUUUAUUAGAGGUUAUAGGACUGUUUAACCUGCUUACCUUAUCUUAAUUUAAUGUUGGCAAGUGACAUAUAUCAGGAAAAUCUUCCAUUUCCUUUUGAUUUUCCAAACUUGUGAAAUACAGUCUUUUGAAAUAAGACCUAAUGAUUCUCUGGAGUUACACUCCCUUUUCAUAACUGAUUUUGUUUAUUGGGAUACUAUCUCUCUCCCUUUUUGUCAGCUUCUCUAGAGCUUUGUCUAUCUUGUUGAUGUUCAAAAAAAAACAGCUCUUGGUUUCAUUGAUUCUUUGUAUUGUUCCCAUUUUUUUCUUUGACACUAACUUCAGCUAUGAGUUUGAUUAUUUCCUCCUGUCUACUCCUCUUAGGUGUUUACUUCAGUCUGUUCUAGAGCUUUUACAUGUACUUUUAAAUUGCUGCUAUGAGAAUUCCUUAAUUCUUUUUAGAAAGGCACUUAAUGCUAUGAACCUUCCUUCUCCUUAGCACUGCUUUCAUUGUGUCCCAGAAGUUUAGGUAUGUUGUCUCUUCAUUUUCACUGAAUUCUAGAAGAUCUAUAUUUUCUUUCUUUAUUUUUUCUCUGACCCAAUGACCACUGAGUCAUUCAGUUUCUGUUAGUUUUAUAGGUUUUCUAUUGUUUCCAUUGUUAUUGAACUCUAGCUUUAAUCCAUGGUGGUCUGAUAAGAUACAAGGGGUUAUUACAAAUUUCUUAUACUUGUUGAGGCUUGCUUUCUGACCAAGUCAAUGGGCAAUCUUGAAGAAGUUUCUGUGAGGUGCUGAGAAGAUGGUAUAUCCAUUUUUGUCUGGGUGAAAAUUCUGUAGAUAUCUAUUGGAUCCAUUUGAUUUGAGCAUCAGUUAGUUUAAUUGUUUCUCUAUCUAGUUUCUGUUUUCAUGACUUGUCUUUUGGUUAGUGUGGGGUUUUGAAGUCUCCUACUAUUACUGUGGAUAUAUUAGUGUAUUAUUUAAGCUUUAGUAAUGCUUCUUUUACAAAUGUAGGUGCCCUUGUAUUUGAAGCAAAAUACUCAGAAUAGAGACAUCAUCUUGGUGGAUUUUUGAUAUGAUAUGUAUCCUUUUACUAUGAUAUGUAUCCUUUCCCAUAUCUUUUGAAUAAAUUCAGUUAAAAUUUUAUUUUAUUAGAUAUUAGGAUGGCUUCUUUCAAUUUGCUUCUUGGGUCCAUUUCCUUGAAAAAGCUAUUUCCAGCCCUUCACUCUGAGCUGCAUCCAUUUUUGAGGAAAAUUAAAGUGAUAAAUGCUGCCGGAGAUGAAAUAAGCUUUGAUGAGAAAAAGAAUAUUAUGGAAACAUAUGAUAUACAGAAGUUUAUUUCAUAGAACUCCUCAAUCUGUAUGUACACAGAGCUGUGGUCCAGGAUUCUGGAAAGUUCUACAAGAAGAAAGACCCAUUUGCUACUUUUCUUGUGUAUUUUGUCCAGAGUGGCACAUUUCCAACCAGACAGGUAGAAAAAUAAUACUUUUCCUCAACUGCUUGGGAAUGUAGAAGGGGAAAGUUAAGUGACUAUGGUGUCAUAAUGCAAUGCUGUUCUCCAUGUCUCUUUCCCUCAUCCCUGAAUCCAUUAGUAAUCACUGCUGAUGCCACAAAAUGUGUGAAGAUUUGAGUGGCAAUUCUCAUGUUAUUGUGUCAGAUGAAAACUACUAAAAUAAAAAAACCUGCCUUUUGGUGCAUGACAUGGCUAUCUCCAUGGUAUAGGUUCCCCAUUAAAUGUGAGAUCUCCACUUGUCCAGAAUUGAUUUUUAUUUCUGCAAUAAACAAACCUAAUGAUUUUUGCCUGAAGAUAACUCCAGAAAAA